rnacentral:rRNA from 1 species
GAGUUUGAUCCUGGCUCAGAUUGAACGCUGGCGGCAGGCCUAACACAUGCAAGUCGAGCGGAAACGAGUUAACUGAACCUUCGGGGAACGUUAACGGCGUCGAGCGGCGGACGGGUGAGUAAUGCCUGGGAAAUUGCCCUGAUGUGGGGGAUAACCAUUGGAAACGAUGGCUAAUACCGCAUAAUAGCUUCGGCUCAAAGAGGGGGACCUUCGGGCCUCUCGCGUCAGGAUAUGCCCAGGUGGGAUUAGCUAGUUGGUGAGGUAAUGGCUCACCAAGGCGACGAUCCCUAGCUGGUCUGAGAGGAUGAUCAGCCACACUGGAACUGAGACACGGUCCAGACUCCUACGGGAGGCAGCAGUGGGGAAUAUUGCACAAUGGGCGCAAGCCUGAUGCAGCCAUGCCGCGUGUAUGAAGAAGGCCUUCGGGUUGUAAAGUACUUUCAGCAGUGAGGAAGGUGGGUAUGUUAAUAGCAUACACAUUUGACGUUAGCUGCAGAAGAAGCACCGGCUAACUCCGUGCCAGCAGCCGCGGUAAUACGGAGGGUGCGAGCGUUAAUCGGAAUUACUGGGCGUAAAGCGCAUGCAGGUGGUUUGUUAAGUCAGAUGUGAAAGCCCGGGGCUCAACCUCGGAAUUGCAUUUGAAACUGGCAAACUAGAGUACUGUAGAGGGGGGUAGAAUUUCAGGUGUAGCGGUGAAAUGCGUAGAGAUCUGAAGGAAUACCGGUGGCGAAGGCGGCCCCCUGGACAGAUACUGACACUCAGAUGCGAAAGCGUGGGGAGCAAACAGGAUUAGAUACCCUGGUAGUCCACGCCGUAAACGAUGUCUACUUGGAGGUUGUGGCCUUGAGCCGUGGCUUUCGGAGCUAACGCGUUAAGUAGACCGCCUGGGGAGUACGGUCGCAAGAUUAAAACUCAAAUGAAUUGACGGGGGCCCGCACAAGCGGUGGAGCAUGUGGUUUAAUUCGAUGCAACGCGAAGAACCUUACCUACUCUUGACAUCUACAGAAGCCAGCGGAAACGCAGGUGUGCCUUCGGGAACUGUAAGACAGGUGCUGCAUGGCUGUCGUCACCUCCGGUUGUGAAAUGUUGGGUUAAGUCCCGCACCAACCGCAACCUUAACCUUGUUUGCCACC